rnacentral:rRNA from 1 species
CCUGAUGCAGCCAUGCCGCGUGUGUGAAGAAGGCCUUCGGGUUGUAAAGCACUUUCAGUCGUGAGGAAGGUAGGUGUAGUUAAUAGCUGCAUUAUUUGACGUUAGCGACAGAAGAAGCACCGGCUAACUCCGUGCCAGCAGCCGCGGUAAUACGGAGGGUGCGAGCGUUAAUCGGAAUUACUGGGCGUAAAGCGCAUGCAGGUGGUUUGUUAAGUCAGAUGUGAAAGCCCGGGGCUCAACCUCGGAAUAGCAUUUGAAACUGGCAGACUAGAGUACUGUAGAGGGGGGUAGAAUUUCAGGUGUAGCGGUGAAAUGCGUAGAGAUCUGAAGGAAUACCGGUGGCGAAGGCGGCCCCCUGGACAGAUACUGACACUCAGAUGCGAAAGCGUGGGGAGCAAACAGGAUUAGAUACCCUGGUAGUCCACGCCGUAAACGAUGUCUACUUGGAGGUUGUGGCCUUGAGCCGUGGCUUUCGGAGCUAACGCGUUAAGUAGACCGCCUGGGGA